rnacentral:rRNA from 1 species
UACAGAGGUCUCAAGCGUUGUCCGGAUUUAUUGGGUUUAAAGGGUGCGUAGGCGGUCUUUUAAGUCAGUGGUGAAAUCCUCCAGCUUAACUGGAGAACUGCCAUUGAUACUGGGAGACUUGAGUACAGACGAGGUAGGCGGAAUUGACAGUGUAGCGGUGAAAUGCAUAGAUAUUGUCAAGAACACCGAUUGCGAAGGCAGCUUACUAGACUGUAACUGACGCUGAGGCACGAAAGUGUGGGGAUCAAACAGG